rnacentral:rRNA from 1 species
UACGUAGGGGGCUAGCGUUGUCCGGAAUCAUUGGGCGUAAAGCGCGUGUAGGCGGCCCGGUAAGUCCGCUGUGAAAGUCGGGGGCUCAACCCUCGGAUGCCGGUGGAUACUGUCGGGCUCGAGUACGGAAGAGGCGAGUGGAACUCCUGGUGUAGCGGUGAAAUGCGUAGAGAUCGGGAGGAACACCGGCGGCGAAGGCGGCUGCCUGGACCGGCCCUGACGCUGAGGCGCGAAAGCUAGGGGAGCAAACAGGG